UGGGGAAUAUUGCACAAUGGGCGAAAGCCUGAUGCAGCGACGCCGCGUGCGGGAUGACGGCCUUCGGGUUGUAAACCGCUUUCGGCAGGGAAGAAGCCGCAAGGUGACGGUACCUGCAGAAGAAGCGCCGGCUAACUACGUGCCAGCAGCCGCGGUAAUACGUAGGGCGCAAGCGUUGUCCGGAAUUAUUGGGCGUAAAGAGCUCGUAGGCGGUUCGUCGCGUCUGCUGUGAAAUCCUCAGGCUCAACCUGGGGCGUGCAGUGGGUACGGGCGGACUAGAGUGCGGUAGGGGUGACUGGAAUUCCUGGUGUAGCGGUGGAAUGCGCAGAUAUCAGGAGGAACACCGAUGGCGAAGGCAGGUCACUGGGCCGCAACUGACGCUGAGGAGCGAAAGCAUGGGGAGCGAACAGGAUUAGAUAGCCCUGGUAGUCCAUGCCGUAAACGUUGGGCACUAGGUGUGGGGUCCAUUCCACGGAUUCCGUGCCGCAGCAAA
rnacentral:rRNA from 1 species